GAGGACUGGGAGUGUACCCUCCUGGCUGCAGCAGUAGCUGUAAGAGGGAAGACAAGCUGGUGAAGAUCCUGUCCAUUUUGCUAUGGGAGGCUAGAGGACCCCACAAUCUCAGUUGACAACAGAACUGCUGCUUUUUUGGAAGACAAGAGAGCAGAUUUCUGCCUGGCUCAGCCUUCAGCAAUGUGGCAAACAGAGCUCUAGGUGUGUGAGGAGAAUAAUAAAGUGUGCAACUGUCACCAUUUACAAUCUCUCACAAUUUAAAGUUAGAGAGACAAGAUAAGAACGUUUGCUAAUGUCUGUUUCCCAGAGAUCAAAUGUUGAGGAGGACCUGAGCACAUGCACAAGGUGCAUGAAAGAAGAUCAGAUGCUGGAGCACAUUCAGUCCCCAAAGAGGCCACUUUUAAGGCUGGCCACACUACAGCUCUAACUAUAUCACUGCAUGGGUGUCUGGUUUAAUUAUAGGUCUCUGUAUUGGAACACUGUUUUUGUUACUAGCAUGGAUGGGACAACACAGCUAUAGAAUCAAGUUAGGGAAAUAUUUAUAAUCUAUAUCGAGGACAUAUUUCAAACAGAAAAGCCAUAUUAGAACAACUACACUCCUUGCCGUGCUGCAGAGCUGCUUAACAUGGUGCUGUUUAACAUGGCUGGAUGAGAUAAAUUCUCUUAUUAGAAGCUGACUGUAUUGUAUGCAUGCAUAUGGGAUUACUGAAUAAAUAGGUGCCACAGUUAGAUUUUGAAGGGAUAAACCACUAUACUGUAAAAAUAUAUAUAUAGUGAUCUUGUAAUCCACAUACUUAAGAUGCAGUGUGUUCUUUAUUUAUGUAAGCCCAAAAAGAGAAACGG